ACACUACUGAUCUAAUCCCCAAAAUCCACCGUUUUCUAAUCCCUUCCUUGAGCUCAGAUUAGGUACUGCUUCAAUUUUGGUCCCUGUUUUACCCUCCCGAUUCACGCUUCUGUUUUACCCAAAAUCCACGUUCUGUUUCUUCCUUCUACCUUUCUUCUCCACUCUCCUCACCGUCUUCUCCUCUAACAUCCAGUGUGUUCUGCUCCUCUAACAUCCUCUGGCGUACCAUUUGUGGCUAUGGAGAACAGUGCUGUUGCUGCCUUUUAAGCUCAUUACAGUAUUCUUGCAUGAAGCAAGUCAUGCAAUUGCCUGCAAACUUACCUGUGGUCAUGCACUUGUUGAUGCCCCGGAUAUGGUAAGAGGCCAAAUGAACUUCAAGAGGCUUACAUUGACAGAUAUCACAAUUGACAUUCCACGUGUUCCCAAGAACAAAUGGGUUGAUCGAAGCUAUGGAGAAGGCUGGUAAGGACGACGACAGCUUUCACCAGCAUUUGUAAUGUUGUUUCUUGAAGAUAUGUUUUCUUUCUUAUCACUCUUAUGUUAACUUGCAAAUGUUAAGAACAAAUGGGAAAGUAGCUCGUGGGGUAGAAAGUUGAUUGUCCAGAAGAGAAGAGCAUCUCUCAACGACUUUGAUAGGUUCAAGCUUAUGUUGGCUAAGAUCAAGAGGUCUGGAGUCAUCAAGCAAGAACUUGCUAAGCUGAAAAAGGAGAAUGCAUCUUGAAUUUGAUAUUGAAUCAUGGAUUUUUGUUAGUUUUUGUCAUCAAACAAUCUGCAGGUUGUUCUUUUUUGUAAUUUUUUCUUUUAUUUACAAAUGAUUAAAAAGAUUAAAGAUCAGUUGAGAGAUCUUUGUUUGCUAUAUUACAUAUUUUAUAGUGAGUUUAAUAGCAGGAUAUUGCUUUGCUUGCUGCAA